AUGGCUACCCACUCCAGUAUCCUUGCCUGGAGAAUCCCAUGGACAGAGGAGCUUGGUGGGCUACAGUCCAUAGGGUCACAAAGAGUGGACACGACUGAACGACUGAGCACGCACAUCGGAAGGCAUGGGCCUCUUUCUGGAUCUCCUGUCAGCAUUGUUGGAACAUCUGAAGAGAUUCCAGGGAAUCAUCCCACUCCCGAGCAGAUUCACCCGAAAUAUGAAAGAAGCAGGAGAUAUAACCUAUAACAAGGAGAAAAACAAGAAAUUCCCUUUUUGUUUUGUCUGGAGGAUAUGUGUCCAGCUAUGGCUCCUGGAUCUAAGGGGAGGAAGUAAGUUGGUAAGGGAAUAUCUCUGUGUUUAGUGUGCAUAUU
rnacentral:lncRNA from 1 species